rnacentral:rRNA from 1 species
CUUGGUCAUUUAGAGGAAGUAAAAGUCGUAACAAGGUUUCCGUAGGUAUGUUAAGCAUCGAGUUCCUCCCUUUUUGUGACAUUUCGCUAACUUGUAAUCUUAGGUGAACCUGCGGAAGGAUCAUUACUGAGUUAGGGUCUUCUGGCCCGACCUCCAACCCUGUGUCUACCUUACCACGUUGCUUCGGCGGGCCUGUCGACAGGAUCUGUCGGCUGCUGGCGGGUCUUAACCCCCCGCUGGACAGUGCCCGUCGAUGGCCAACCUCUUAAAACUCUUGAAGAACCAUGUCGUCUGAGUACCAAACUAAAUAAAAUAAAAACUUUCAACAACGGAUCUCUUGGUUCUGGCAUCGAUGAAGAACGCAGCGAAAUGCGAUAAGUAAUGCGAAUUGCAGAAUUCCGUGAGUCAUCGAAUCUUUGAACGCACAUUGCGCCCUUUGGUAUUCCUUGGAGCAUGCCUGUUUGAGUAUCAUGAGUAAAUCUCAAAGUCGAUUCCUUAAUUGGUCUUGCUUUGGACUUGGAGGUCUUGCAGAUUUCACAGUCUGCUCCUCUUAAAUGCAGUAGCUGGAUCUCAGUAUUAUGGUUCCACUCGGCGUGAUAAGUAUCACUCGCUGAGGACACUGUUAAAAAGGUGGCCAGGACAAUACUUGAUUGAACCGCUUCUAACCGUCUAUUAACUUAGACAAUUGCCCUUAAGUUCGAUCUCAAAUCAGGUAGGACUACCCGCUGAACUUAAGCAUAUCAAUAAGCGGAGGA